AGGACGAACGCUGGCGGCGUGCCUAACACAUGCAAGUCGAGCGAGGAGAUUCCUUCGGGAUGAUCCUAGCGGCGGACGGGUGAGUAACACGUGGGCAACCUGCCUCAUAGAGAGGAAUAGCCUUCCGAAAGGGAGAUUAAUACCUCAUAACAUUGCAGUUUCGCAUGGAACAGCAAUUAAAGGAGUAAUCCGCUAUGAGAUGGGCCCGCGGCGCAUUAGCUAGUUGGUGAGGUAACGGCUCACCAAGGCGACGAUGCGUAGCCGACCUGAGAGGGUGAUCGGCCACAUUGGGACUGAGACACGGCCCAGACUCCUACGGGAGGCAGCAGUGGGGAAUAUUGCACAAUGGGGGAAACCCUGAUGCAAGCAACGCCGCGUGAGUGAUGACGGCCUUCGGGUUGUAAAGCUCUGUCUUCAGGGACGAUAAUGACGGUACCUGAGGAGGAAGCCACGGCUAACUACGUGCCAGCCGCUGC
rnacentral:rRNA from 1 species